UACGUAGGGGGCAAGCGUUGUCCGGAAUUAUUGGGCGUAAAGCGCGCGCAGGCGGCCUUGUAAGUCUGCCGUUUAAACUCGGAGCUCAACUUCGAGUCGCGAUGGAAACUGCAAAGCUUGAGUGCAGAAGAGGAAAGUGGAAUUCCACGUGUAGCGGUGAAAUGCGUAGAGAUGUGGAGGAACACCAGUGGCGAAGGCGACUUUCUGGGCUGUAACUGACGCUGAGGCGCGAAAGCGUGGGGAGCAAACAGG
rnacentral:rRNA from 1 species